rnacentral:lncRNA from 1 species
CCAAUUCCUGAGGUUUCUGAGGAGGAGGAGGAGGAGGAAGAGCCCAAAGCAGCCCCACUAAGGCAGGUGCCCGUGGAGAAGGAAACAGAUCGUGAUGUGAGCAAAGACUCUGUCCAAAGACCCAAAUGCAACCGAGUGGCCUAUAUUGAGUUUCCUCCUCCUCCCCCCCUGGAUGCCGACCAGAUGGAGUCAGAUAAGAAACACGAGUAUCUCCCCGACAGGGAGGUUGACAUGAUGGAAGUCAGCCUUCAGGAUGAGUCUGACAAGUACCAGUUGGCCGAGCCAGUCAUCCGAGUGCAGCCCCCAUCACCAGUCCCUCCUGGUGCCGAUGCCAGUGAGUCCAGCGAUGACGAGUCCAUGUAUCAACCGGCCCCAGUUAAAAAAUACACCUUCAAGCUGAAGGGAGUGGACGAAGGGCAGAAAGACACAGCAAAAUCCAAAACGGCCACCACAAAGGCUUCCAACCAGAAAGAGGUGGAGAGUAACGGGAAAGAGA